CCUACGGGAGGCAGCAGUGAGGAAUAUUGGUCAAGGGGCGCGAGCCUGAACCAGCCAAGUAGCGUGAAGGAUGACUGCCCUACGGGUUGUAAACUUCUGUUAUAAAGGAAUAAAGUGAGGCACGUGUGCCUUUUUGUAUGGACGUUAUGAAUAAGGAUCGGCUAACUCCGUGCCAGCAGCCGCGGUACUACGGAGGAUCCGAGCUUUAUCCGGAUGGAUUGGGUUGAAAGGGAGCGGAGAUGGGUUGUUAAGUCAGUUGUGAAAGUUUGCGGCUCACCCGUAAAAUUGCAAUUGAUACUGGCAGUCUUGAGUCCAGUUGAGGUAGGCGGCAUUCGUGGUGUAGC
rnacentral:rRNA from 1 species